AUUGAACGCUGGCGGCAGGCCUAACACAUGCAAGUCGAGCGAGCGGCGGACGGGUGAGUAAUGUAUGGGGAACUGCCCGAUGGAGGGGGAUAACUACUGGAAACGGUAGCUAAUACCGCAUACUAUCGGAUGAACCCAGAUGGGAUUAGCUAGUAGGUGGGGUAAAGGCUCACCUAGGCGACGAUCUCUAGCUGGUCUGAGAGGAUGAUCAGCCACACUGGGACGGAGACACGGCCCAGACUCCGACGGGAGGCAGCAGUGGGGAAUAUUGCACAAUGGGCGCAAGCCUGAUGCAGCCAUGCCGCGUGUAUGAAGAAGGCCUUCGGGUUGUAAAGUACUUUCAGUCGGGAGGCGUUACCGACAGAAGAAGCACCGGCUAACUCCGUGCCAGCCGCCGCGGUAAUUC
rnacentral:rRNA from 1 species